GACAGAGGGUGCAAACGUUGUUCGGAAUUACUGGGCGUAAAGCGCGUGUAGGCGGAUUGCUAAGUCAGGGGUGAAAUCCUGGAGCUCAACUCCAGAACUGCCUUUGAUACUGGCGACCUUGAGUCCGGGAGAGGUGAGUGGAACUGCGAGUGUAGAGGUGAAAUUCGUAGAUAUUCGCAAGAACACCAGUGGCGAAGGCGGCUCACUGGCCCGGUACUGACGCUGAGGUGCGAAAGCGUGGGGAGCAAACAGG
rnacentral:rRNA from 1 species